rnacentral:rRNA from 1 species
CUCGUAGGUGGCCAACUAAGUCAGACGUGAAAUCCCCAGGCUUAACCUGGGAACUGCGUCUGAUACUGGAUGGCUUGAAUUCGGGAGAGGGAUGCAGAAUUCCAGGUGUAGCGGUGAAAUGCGUAGAUAUCUGGAGGAAUACCGGUGGCGAAGGCGGCAUCCUGGACCGAGAUUGACACUGAUGAGCGAAAGCCAAGGGGAGCAAACG